UUUGUCACCCGCGGACAACACAUCUCUCGGUUUUCGUAAGCUACUGUCACUUGAAAAAGAGGAAGAAUAACUGACAUUCUUCUGCUUUGAGAAUGUUUCAACUGAUAUUCUGAGCAGCUUUGCUAAUCUGUGAAGGCCCAGCUGACAACUGAUAAGUUUGACUCAUGACUGUAAAUCCACAAGCCUGAAUGUCAGGUCAACUACAGUGGCCCGUCUAGGUAAAGAGAGCGAAGGUGUCCUAUGGGGUUGCUCACUCUAGUACUAGAUGAGGAACACCUCACUCAUUGGUGAAGGAGAUUCAAAAUCAUUCCCACUGUAUUGGCCCUCAACCCCUAUGAUUCCAUACUCAUAAAGGAGGUGGUGUGUGUCAACCAAUGUGGCAAAACAGUGUAACUUGUUUGACGACGGAAAAUCGCCCUUUGAAGCUUGAGGGUACAAGAAAUCAUUCGAAUGCUAAAAGGACAGGCAGACGCAAGACGGCAAGGACUCCUCUACCACCACUGUAGUCUAGUUCCUGUGCAGACUGCAGCUCCGAUCCACACGCACGAAGUGACAGUGCUUCGGUGACUACCCCACCAGUUGCUAAAAACACGCCAGCUUUCCCACCAGCACAAGCAACACCGCUUCACAAAUAAAGCCGGACAAGAACAAUUUUAUUACAAUACCCAUAGGAAAUCAUAAUGAAAACUUUACAACACUGUGCUCGCAUAAGACACCUGCAAAUCUAUUUCACAAUGUGGUGCGUGGUGAUUGCAAAGACCUUGACACAAGACAAUGUGCCAGUGUCCUGUUUACUGACAUUGAUAGAUAAUGGUGGUCCCUCAUACGAACCUGGGGCUGGGGUCACUGGUUUUUCUUGAAGUGCCAUUUUUGUGAAUAGAAAGUGAGGAUGAUUGGAUGCAGCACAUUUGUAAGGUAAACGAUUUUAUUUUAAUUUAGGUGUUUUACACCACUUUUACGUCCUGGACACAAAUUAGAUCAAUUUGGUGGGUCUCUCGCCCUGCCUGUUAGGGUCAACCCUGCAUGAGAGAGGAGUAACACUUCAGCAAAAAGACAUAUCUCUGUACUGGAAAAAAAAAUUCCCACUCAGAAAUCGAAUUCGGGUCUAACAAGUGUGACACUGAAGUUCCUAAAUGCUACACUAUAGUACUGGUGUAAACAAUGCUCAUUUCAAUUUUUUUUCGUUUGUGUUUUAUAGUACUAAGUAUAUAAAAUAUUCCAGGGCGCUACUGCGUAUAUCCUAUAUAAUAUUCCAGCGCAUUUUGGUAUAAAAAUCUAAUUUAUACCCAUUCCCUGGAUUAUCAGCUUGUUUUGUUUGUUUGUUUGUCAGUUUGUUUGUCUGUUUGUCGUUGUUUAUUUUAUAUUUCGAGGGUGGUAUUGGGGGUUUUAGUCGAUGAUACUUUUUUCCAAAUUCACGCUGUUUUACUUUAAUUUAUUAAAUACACAUUCCAGAUGUAUUAAUGAAUAAUAUACACAUAUGCCCUGUUUUAGAACUUAAUGUUGAAAUACACCAGUAUGGAUUCAUUUAAAAAAAACAAAUUUUCUCAAAACUAUGAUUUUCGUUUAGGGGUGGGUUACCUGCGCUGGUAUAUUUCUGAAAGUACAUAUCACAGCUCAAUCUCACUUUGCAUGACUGUUUCUAGAUAAUAGUUGUAUGUCAGAAACAUACAAAAAUAUUAUUGUGAUAUAUUUUCUGUGAGUGCAAAAAUGAUUGAUGUUAUCAAUAAAAUUUGUAAUGAAUAG